rnacentral:rRNA from 1 species
CCUACGGGGCGCAGCAGUGAGGAAUAUUGGUCAAUGGCCGAGAGGCUGAACCAGCCAAGUCGCGUGGAGGAUGAAGGUUUUAGGAUUGUAAACUCCUUUUGUUAGAGAAGAUUAUGACGGUAUCUAACGAAUAAGCACCGGCUAACUCCGUGCCAGCAGCCGCGGUAAUACGGAGGGUGCAAGCGUUACUCGGAAUCACUGGGCGUAAAGAGUGAGUAGGCGGGGUAAUAAGUCAGAUGUGAAAUCCUGUAGCUUAACUACAGAACUGCAUUUGAAACUGUUACUCUGGAGUGUGGGAGAGGUAGGUGGAAUUCUUGGUGUAGGGGUAAAAUCCGUAGAGAUCAAGAGGAAUACUCAUUGCGAAGGCGACCUGCUGGAACAUUACUGACGCUGAUGCACGAAAGCGUGGGGAGCAAACAGGAUUAGAUACCCGAGUAGUC